rnacentral:rRNA from 1 species
ACUCAAAUGAAUAGACGGGGACCCGCACAAGCGGUGGAUGAUGUGGAUUAAUUCGAUGCAACGCGAAAAACCUUACCUACCCUUGACAUGGUCGGAAUCCCGGAGAGAUUCGGGAGUGCUCGAAAGAGAACCGGCGCACAGGUGCUGCAUGGCUGUCGUCAGCUCGUGUCGUGAGAUGUUGGGUUAAGUCCCGCAACGAGCGCAACCCUUGUCAUUAGUUGCUACGAAAGGGCACUCUAAUGAGACUGCCGGUGACAAACCGGAGGAAGGUGGGGAUGACGUCAAGUCCUCAUGGCCCUUAUGGGUAGGGCUUCACACGUCAUACAAUGGUACAUACAGAGGGCUGCCAACCCGCGAGGGGGAGCUAAUCCCAGAAAGUGUAUCGUAGUCCGGAUUGGAGUCUGCAACUCGACUCCAUGAAGUUGGAAUCGCUAGUAAUCGCGGAUCAGCAUGUCGCGGUGAAUACGUUCCCGGGUCUUGUACACACCGCCCGU